UACCCCCUGCCGCGUUGCCUCGGCGGGAGGUCUGGGGCGGGCCCGCCCCGCCCCCGGCCCCCGCCGGCGGCGCCGAAACUCUGCAUCUGCGAAGCGUAACUGCACCCUCUGAUUCAGAUUUUUAAAACAAGUCAAAACUUUCAACAACGGAUCUCUUGGUUCUGGCAUCGAUGAAGAACGCAGCGAAAUGCGAUAAAUAAUGUGAAUUGCAGAAUUCAGUGAAUCAUCGAAUCUUUGAACGCACAUUGCGCCCGGCAGCAAUCUGCCGGGCAUGCCUGUCCGAGCGUCAUUUCUCCCCUCGAGCGCUGCCGUCCCCCCCGGGGGCCGGCCGCCGCCCGGCGUUGGGGCCCUGCGGGCGCGAGCCCGCAGCCCCCGAAAUGAAGUGGCGGCCCCGCCGCGGCGCCCCCUGCGUAGUAGUUUCUAUCUCGCAUCGGGCCCCGGCGAAGGCCAGCCGUCGAACCCUUUUUCUAUGGUUUGACCUCGGAUCAGGUAGGGUUACCCGCUGAACUUAAGCAUAUCAAUAAGCGGAGGA
rnacentral:rRNA from 1 species